CUCGUCCAAUUAUAAACUGCUUACUUCUCUAAAUUACACAAAACUAUUUUUUAACAAUGUUCCUCUUUUGUUUAUGCUUUCAAAUUACUUUUGCAAUUUUAUGCAUAAGCUUGGUCCUAGUUGUGCAAUUUUUUCCUUCAGUUCGCUCGCAAGAUGAAUGUCGCCCUAAUCCCAUGGCUCCGAAAGCAUUAUGGAACGGAAUAUCAGCUCAUCUUGUGCCAAAAUUGAAGACCCACAAGAAUAUUAAAAAUAAAAAACAGAAAAAUUGAGCAAAUAUCUAUCUAGGUAUGCAAUUUGUCCAAAAACAAUGCAUGAAUUAGAAUAAAUACACCCAAAUCACUACAGCUUGAUUUUUUUCAAAUUUUCAAUUCAUGGACUUUCAUUUCUUUGGAGAAUCGAAACUUCAAAUGUUACCACACGAUGUACAAGAACACCUACACACCUCGCCAUGACCUGACCACCCUCUCAAGUAACACAAGGGUAUCCGAUGUACCUACGAACACAGACCGUAGGCUAUAUAGGCCUGCAGCUAGAUCGAACGUGCUAUUCGGCGAUAAUGAUACGUUACAGGUAGCUGAAAACCUAAGCGUCGAAUUGAUUUUAGCGGCGGAUAAUUAAUGGUUUGUUUUACUGUUAAGGCCACAUAUAUCUAGAAUAACUUAUUAAAUAAACAACCCAUCGCACACACGUCAAUUACAGGGUGGAGCAUACGAGUACCUACUUAUAGUAUAUACGCGCUUCUUAAAAAUCAAUUAUACGCGUAAAGCUUGUUGAUUGAUAUCGCUCUGCGCACACAACACUCGUCACACACCCCAUCUACUCAUUAGGAAGUUAGGAUCGAAAAAAAUAAAUAAAUGUAUACAGAAAAAUCAACAUAUACCUACCUAUACUAAUCGAGAUAAAGGUAGUAUUUUUUUCAGUCGAGGGGGCCAGCUGUUUACGUAAUACGCGUGCCCACCACUUACAAAAGUGUAUAAAGGUAUCUUCAAUUGUGUAUAGUGUAGAUACAGAUAGCCAACGAAGAGUUAUUCGUUCCUCGACUAUGUAUUAUUAAAUC